UUAUGUAAUCAAAAUCACCUGGCUUGCUGACAGAAGCUUGGGAUGCAAGUGUUCUUCUGUGCUGUGACCUCAGUGAGGUUCCAGCAGACACAGCUUCUAUCAGGCCUGCAAAUCCAUACACUGAGUGUCCAGUGUUUUCCUGGUUUGCUGAAGAGGAGAUUUGUUCUUGUCAGACUGCCAGAACACCAUUGGAACCUGAUGCCACACUCUGGUUGAGGAAAUCACUCUCUAAUCCACCUAAAUGUUUUAACCCACUGGAUGAAAUAAGAACCAAAUGCAUUUUCAACCAUUUAGCAGAGAUCCAUGUCUGAAGAGGGAAUGCCACAAAGGGGGAGAGACACCUCUGAAAGAGCUCUGGAGUUUGCUCCCUGCUGAGCUGAGUUGCUGCACAAGUGAGGGGAUUUUUGGAGAUCCCUCUCAUUCCACAGGCAUGGCAGGAAAUGUCCCCCCCAGUUAAUUCAGUACUUACUCAAGUACUUCCCUUAUUUUGUUUCCAAAGAAUUGGAAGUAACUUCCACCGUCUGGGUUUAUUUUCUUGAUUUCAGGUUAUUAUUUAUAUG